CGACCUAGUGGACGUUGAGGAGCUUCCUAACGGGGGUUGGGGAGCAUCCUGAUGGGGGUUGAGGAGCGUCCCUAACGGGGGUUGAGGAGCGACCUAGUGGACGUCGAGGAGCAUCCUAACGGGGGUUGAGGAGCGUCCUGAUGGGGGUUGAGGAGCGUCCUGAUGGGGGUUGAGGAGCGUCCCUAACGGGGGUUGAGGAGCGUCCUGAUGGAGGUUGAGGAGCAUCCUAACGGGGGUUGAGGAGCGUCCUGUUGGAGGUUGAGGAGCGUCCUGAUGGAGGUUUAGGAGCAUCCUGAUGGAGGUUGAGGAGCGUCCUGAUGGGGGUUGAGGAGCGUCCUGAUGGAGGUUGAGGAGCGUCCUAACUGGGGUUGAGGAGCAUCCUGAUGGAGGUUGAGGAGCAUCCUAACGGGGG
ensembl:lncRNA